GACGAACCGUGCGAACGUUGUUCGGAUUCACUGGGCUUAAAGGGCGCGUAGGCGGGUUGUCAAGUCAGGGGUGAAAGCCUCCAGCUCAACUGGAGAAGUGCCUUUGAUACUGAUGAUCUUGAGGGAGGUAGGGGCAUGUGGAACUUCCGGUGGAGCGGUGAAAUGCGUAGAUAUCGGAAGGAACGCCGGUGGCGAAAGCGGCUCACUGGACCAUUACUGACGCUGAUGCACGAAAGCUAGGGGAGCAAACAGG
rnacentral:rRNA from 1 species